rnacentral:ncRNA from 12 species
AGCUACAUCUGGCUACUGGGU